UACGGAGGGUGCAAACGUUGCUCGGAAUCAUUGGGCGUAAAGCGCACGUAGGCGGUUCGGUAAGUCGGAUGGGAAAUCCCUCGGCUUAACCGAGGAAGUGCAUCCGAAACUGCCGAGCUUGAGUACGGAAGAGGGUCUCGGAAUUCCCGGUGUAGAGGUGAAAUUCGUAGAUAUCGGGAGGAACACCAGUGGCGAAGGCGGAGACCUGGGCCGAUACUGACGCUGAGGUGCGAAAGCGUGGGGAGCAAACAGG
rnacentral:rRNA from 1 species